AUGAACGCUGGCGGCGUGCCUAAUACAUGCCAGUCGCGCGAACAGACGAGGAGCUUGCUCCUCUGACGUUAGCGGCGGACGGGUGAGUAACACGUGGAUAACCUACCUAUAAGACUGGGAUAACUUCGGGAAACCGGAGCUAAUACCGGAUAAUAUAUUGAACCGCCUGGUUCAAUAGUGAAAGACGGUUUUGCUGUCACUUAUAGAUGGAUCCGCGCCGCAUUAGCUAGUUGGUAAGGUAACGGCUUACCAAGGCAACGAUGCGUAGCCGGCCUGAGAGGGGGACCGGCCACACUGGAACUGAGACACGGUCCAGACUCCUACGGGAGGCAGCAGUAGGGAAUCUUCCGCAAUGGGCGAAAGCUUGACGGAGCAACGCCGCGUGAGUGAUGAAGGUCUUCGGAUCGUAAAACUCUGUUAUUAGGGAAGAACAAAUGUGUAAGUAACUAUGCACGUCUUGACGGUACCUAAUCAGAAAGCCACGGCUAACUACGUG
rnacentral:rRNA from 1 species